UACGAAGGGGGCUAGCGUUGUUCGGAAUCACUGGGCGUAAAGAGCUCGUAGGCGGCUUGUCGCGUCGGAUGUGAAAGCCCGGGGCUUAACUCCGGGUCUGCAUUCGAUACGGGCAGGCUAGAGUUCGGUAGGGGAGAUCGGAAUUCCUGGUGUAGCGGUGAAAUGCGCAGAUAUCAGGAGGAACACCGGUGGCGAAGGCGGAUCUCUGGGCCGAUACUGACGCUGAGGAGCGAAAGCGUGGGGAGCGAACAGG
rnacentral:rRNA from 1 species